UACGAGUGCCUCGAGCGUUAUCCGGAAUGAUUGGGCGUAAAGCGUCUGUAGGUGGCUUUUUAAGUCUGCCGUCAAAUCCCAGGGCUUAACCCUGGACAGGCGGUGGAAACUACCAAGCUGGAGUACGGUAGGGGCAGAGGGAAUUUCCGGUGGAGCGGUGAAAUUCGUAGAUAUUCGGAAGAACACCAGUGGCGAAGGCGGCUCACUGGCCCGUUACCGACGCUCAGGCGCGACAGCGUGGGGGAGCAAACAGG
rnacentral:rRNA from 1 species